GACGAACGCUGGCGGCGUGCCUAAUACAUGCAAGUCGAACGCCUUUUCUUUCACCGGAGCUUGCUCCACCGAAAGAAAAAGAGUGGCGAACGGGUGAGUAACACGUGGGUAACCUGCCCAUCAGAAGGGGAUAACACUUGGAAACAGGUGCUAAUACCGUAUAACAAGUAAAACCGCAUGGUUUUACUUUGAAAGGCGCUUUUGCGUCACUGAUGGAUGGACCCGCGGUGCAUUAGCUAGUUGGUGAGGUAACGGCUCACCAAGGCAACGAUGCAUAGCCGACCUGAGAGGGUGAUCGGCCACAUUGGGACUGAGACACGGCCCAAACUCCUACGGGAGGCAGCAGUAGGGAAUCUUCGGCAAUGGACGAAAGUCUGACCGAGCAACGCCGCGUGAGUGAAGAAGGUUUUCGGAUCGUAAAACUCUGUUGUUAGAGAAGAACAAGGAUGAGAGUAAAAUGUUCAUCCCUUGACGGUAUCUAACCAGAAAGCCACGGCUAACUACGUGCCAGCAGCCGCGGUAAUACGUAGGUGGCAAGCGUUGUCCGGAUUUAUUGGGCGUAAAGCGAGCGCAGGCGGUUUCUUAAGUCUGAUGUGAAAGCCCCCGGCUCAACCGGGGAGGGUCAUUGGAAACUGGGAAACUUGAGUGCAGAAGAGGAGAGUGGAAUUCCAUGUGUAGCGGUGAAAUGCGUAGAUAUAUGGAGGAACACCAGUGGCGAAGGCGGCUCUCUGGUCUGUAACUGACGCUGAGGCUCGAAAGCGUGGGGAGCAAACAGG
rnacentral:rRNA from 1 species